rnacentral:rRNA from 1 species
UGGGGAAUAUUGCACAAUGGGCGCAAGCCUGAUGCAGCCAUGCCGCGUGUGUGAAGAAGGCCUUCGGGUUGUAAAGCACUUUCAGCGAGGAGGAAGGUGGUGAACUUAAUACGUUCAUCAAUUGACGUUACUCGCAGAAGAAGCACCGGCUAACUCCGUGCCAGCAGCCGCGGUAAUACGGAGGGUGCAAGCGUUAAUCGGAAUUACUGGGCGUAAAGCGCACGCAGGCGGUUUGUUAAGUCAGAUGUGAAAUCCCCCGGGCUCAACCUGGGAACUGCAUUUGAAACUGGCAAGCUAGAGUCUCGUAGAGGGGGGUAGAAUUCCAGGUGUAGCGGUGAAAUGCGGUAGAGAUCUGGAGGAAUACCGGUGGCGAAGGCGGCCCCCCUGGACGAAGACUGACGCUCAGGUGCGAAAAGCGUGGGGCAGCAAACAGGAUUAGAUACCCUGGUAGUCCACGCUGUAAACGAUGUCGAUUUGGAGGUUGUGCCCUUGAGGCGUGGCUUCCGGAGCUAACGCGUUAAAUCGACCGCCUGGGGGAGUACGG